GUAUUGGUUGCAAGGAGCGUUUUGGCUUUAACUUGUUGAUUCGUAAUGCCUGGUAGGUUAGCUCUCGUCAAUGGUGAUUGAGUCUGGGACUAGGUUAGCUUGAGAGUCUCUGUUGCGGUGGCACUUAAAUUUGGUUAAUGAACUUGUUGUCUAGGGUUAAUUUAUUGAACAUGUCAAUCACCUGUAAACUGAGGAAACGAAACUACUCAAUUAUCCCAUCCUUAGGAAUUCUUUAUCUGAUUGAUUUUAUUGUUUACUCUACUACUGUUUACUGCAUCCUGUCAUCUGUUGCUUAGUUUCUGCAAUUCUUUACUGUUACUCGAUCUGAUACUCGACCACCCAGUUGUCUUGCAACAGACUGUGCAGUCGAGUAUCCCUGUUUCAUUUUCUGUCUGUUACUCGACCUGUCACUCGACCUCACCCAGAGCUCUGCAAAGAGCUGUGUUGGUCGAGUGUUUUACUGUUUCUGUUUGAUUUUUUGUUUUCUGCAUGUUCACUUAGGACUGCUGGAACACACCAAAACCUGUUAUGCUUGGCUUGACUUAGUGACUUUUGAUCACAUCUUGAUUGUUAGCAUCACACCCAUUUGGAUUGACAACCUAAAAUACUACAAUGACAUGAUUGGUGUUUUAGGAUAAUUGACUAAAAAUCUAUUAUCAAUUUGGCGCCGUUGCCAAUUGGGUGUUUGUUUGUUACAUUUAAGAUUUCAGACUUGCUUAGAUCAAGUUCUUUUUCAAUUUUCUUUUCAGUUACUUACUAUGUUUUUCUUGUUGUCUUCUUGAUUUAGGUACACCUCUGUUGUAUGCGAACUCGAUCAACAGGCAACCAGAACCUCCUUUUCAACGACAACAUCAACCGCACAGCCCGCGAACUCAGAAAAAGGAGAACCACAGUCAACCCUGUACCUCAGCAACCACUCGUUAUGGCUGAAGAACAGAAUCAACAAAAUGGCCAUGCCAACAUUGGUGCUGGAGAUGCACCACGUGAUCACCGUUAGAGGAAGGGAAUUGCACCUCCUGCUAUCCAGAACAACAAUUUUGAGAUUAAGAGUUGUCUCAUCUCGAUGAUUCAGGGGAACAAAUUCCAUGGUUUGCCAAUGGAGGAUCCACUCGACCACCUUGAUGAAUUCGAUAGGCUCUGCAACCUAACGAAGAUCAAUGGUGUCAGUGAAAACGGAUUCAAGCUCCGUUUGUUCCCAUUCUCCUUGGGCGACAAAGCACAUAUCUGGGAGAAGAAUCUGCCCCAUGACUCAAUCACCACCUAGGAUGAUUGUAAGAAGGCUUUUCUGUCAAAGUUCUUCUCCAAUGCCAGAACUGCAAGACUCAGAAAUGAGAUUUCUGGUUUCUCACAGAAGACUGGUGAAAGCUUCUGUGAAGCAUGGGAGCGUUUCAAGGGUUACACCAACCAAUGCCCUCAUCAUGGCUUUACUAAAGCCUCUCUUCUCAGCACUCUUUACAGAGGAGUCCUACCACGCAUCAGAAUGCUUCUGGAUACCGCCAGCAAUGGGAAUUUCCAGAACAAGGAUGUUGAAGAAGGCUGGGAGUUGGUUGAGAAGUUGGCCCAAUCAGAUGGCAAUUACAACGAGGACUGUGAUAGGACCGUCAGAGGAACAGCUGACUCUGAUGACAAACACAGGAAGGAGAUCAAAGCGCUGAAUGACAAGCUGGACAGGAUUCUUCUUAGCCAGCAUAAGCAUGUGCACUUCCUUGUUGAUGACGAGCAGUAACCAGUUGGAAGAAGUCAGCUACAUCAACAACAACCAGGGUGGCUACAAAGGAUACAACAACUUCAAAACCAACAAUCCCAACCUCUCCUACCGCAGCACAAACGUUGCUAAUCCUCAGGAUCAGGUGUACCCUCCACAGCAACAACAAGGUCAGAACAAACCUUUUGUUCCCUACAACCAAGGUUUCGUUCCUCAGCAGCAAUUCUAGGGGAACUACCAGCAACCACCACCACCUGGGUUUGCACCUCAGCAAAACCAAGGUCCUGCUGCUCCUGAUGCUGAAAUGAAACAGAUGGUCCAGCAGCUGCUACAGGGACAAGCAUCUAGCUCAAUGGAAAUGGCUAAGAAAUUAUCUGAAUUACACCAUAAGCUGGACUGCAGCUACAAUGACCUGAAUGCCAAAGUGGAGGCAUUGAAUACCAAAGUCAGAUACUUGGAAGGCCAAUCAGCAUCUACCUCUGCACCAAAAGUUACAGGACUUCCAGGGAAGUCCAUACAGAAUCCAAAAGAGUAUGCAACCGCUCACGCCAUCACCAUCUGCCAGGAUCGAGAACUGCCAACUCGACCUGACCCUGAUUUCAUCACUGAGGACAGUGAUGUUCAAGAAGGAGAGGCUUCUACUCAGGUUGAAGUCUCUGUUGUUGAAUUCAACCAUUCCGCUGGUUCUCGCCAUCUCACUCAAUCCAUCUCAGAAGAGAAGGCCGCCAUAAUCGAGAGAAUGGUAAAACGAUUCAAACCUACUCCACUACCCUUACGUGCUCUUCCGUGGACAUUCAGGAAAGCAUGGAUGGAGAGAUACAAGUCUAUUGCAGCGAAGCAGUUGGACGAGAUUGAAGCAGUGAUGCCACUAAUGGAAGUUCUUAACCUGAUUCCUGAUCCUCACAAAGAUGUGAGAAAUUUGAUACUGGAGAGGAUCAAGAUGUAUCACGAUUCGGAUGAUGAAAGUGAUGCCACUCCAUCUCGAGCUGCUGAUAAGAGGAUUGUUCAAGAGAAGUUAGAAGAUCCUGGAUCUUUCACUCUACCAUGUUCCAUUGGGGAAUUUGCUUUCAGCGAUUGUCUGUGCGAUCUCGGAGCCUUUGUUAGCUUGAUGCCACUCUCUGUGACAAGAAGGUUAGAGUUCAUUCAAUAUAAACCUUGUGACCUGACUUUGAUCCUUGCGGAUAGGUCUUCUAGAAAACCGUUCGGCAUGCUGAAAGACCUACCAUUCAUGAUUAAUGGCGUAGAAGUGCCUACAGACUUCGUGGUGCUGGAUAUGGAAGUAGAGCAUAAGGAUCCCUUAAUAGUGGGAGGACCCUUUUUAGCGUCAGCGGGAGCAGUGAUAGAUGUCAGGGAAGAGAAAAUAAGUCUCAACCUUGGAAAGCAUAUCAAGUUGCAGUUUGGCAUCAACAAAACUCCACAAGGGUCAACCGAAGAUGGAAGAACCUCUGGAAAUGAUAGAGCGAUCUCAGGAGAAGGAUAUGAGACUGAAAGAGUGAAAGAACUUAGAAAGAAGUCUGAUAAGCAGAAUGAAACUAUAGAGAAGCUGGCCCACACCAUUGAGGAACUUAGGAGUAAGCUGAAUCAGAUGCAGAAGGAAGCUCAACCUAAAGGCGGGAUUAACACUAUCCCGAGAAAAGAAUUCACUUCAAGAUGGUCUCAAGAUACAGAUUAUCCUCCAGAAGAGAAGGAAGCAUAUUUUGAAGAAAGGGGGAUUGAGUAUUCUGCUGCAAACCUCUCGAGGGAGGACGCUGAAUAUGAUGAUGGUAUCAGAGAGGAUUAUGCUGACCCUCUCUACAGUUCAUUUUCUUCUUGAUAAGUGUGAGGAGUCAAGCUAGAGACUUAAAACAAGCUUACUUGGGAGGAAGUCCCAUGACUAUCCUUGUAAAUAAUUUUUACUUUCUUGUUAUUUUUGAUUUGUUUUGGUUAUGUUUGUGGUUCUCAGGAAGAAGGGAGUACGUGAAGGUAAAGUAAAAAUUCAAAACUUUUACUCAACUGAUGGCCUAGAGAUCGAGUAUAGUGGUCGAGUAUGAGUGAUGUUUAAAAACCUAAAAAAAUUUUAAUCAUCAUUUUACUCGACCAACAGAAGCUACAAAGUCUUCCAGGGAGUCUUUCAAGUUUACAGAGGAUUGCGGGAUUUCCUAGAGUUUUUCUAGUGAACAGAGAAUACAGAGAAGAGACAAGAAGACAACGAGGGACCCGCCGUUAACGCCCAUGUCUUCCAUGCAAGAGACCAAGAGACAUGGAAUCUCUUCACUCCCACUCGAUCACCACGCAACCCCACCUUCACUCGAUAUCACCUCCAUCACUCGAUAUCACCUCCAUCACUCGAUAUCACCUCCAUCACUCGACCUUGUUUUCUCCUCCAUAACCAAAUAAACUCGACCCCAUCCUUCUUAAAUCAACGCUCCCUUUUUCUUUUUCUACUCGACCUCGACGCCAUCACCAUCCCCACACCUAUGAAACUCGACCCCAUUCCCCUUAUUCAUCACAACCAACAAACCCAUCCUCAUCAAAGCCAGGCACACGACCGCUUCUCACUCGCCUCUUCACCACCGUCUCAAGCUACCACUCGACCGCUCCUCGCCAUCUCUUUCAAGAUCGUCUCUCAUCACCAAACACUCGACUUCGUCAUUCCCCAACAUCAACAACGUCACUCGACUCCUUAUCACCAUCGUUCUCUCAUCUCUCGAGUCCAGCCAUCACUCGACAACACCACCGUUUCAUCUCUUCCGCGAGCUCAAGUUCACUCGACCGCUCCUCUCCUUCCUUUCAAAGCCACUUUACUUCGCCAUUACACACCGCCUCUCCAUCUCAUUAUCACUCGAUCUCUUGAAUCACCACCGCAGCUCGUCUCAAACCCACUAGUUACUCGACCGCGGCUCCUUCACAGCUUCAUCGCUCUCACCGCCAUCUCUCAACAUACUCGACCUUGCGUAGUCACUCGAUCUCGCCGCUUCUCAACGCCUCUCCAUCGUUUCCAUCGCCGCUGCUCUCAUCCCCACGAAAGCUCGUCAUCGCCGGUUCACUCGAUUAAGCAAACAAACUCGACCUCUUUCAAACCGCUUCACCAUCUCUCGCCUCUCAAGAUCACUCGAUCGCCAAGCACAACCAAGGAAUCACUCGACCGCGAGUUCACCAAACCGAAAAAAAAAAAAAAA
rnacentral:sRNA from 1 species